UGGGGAAUAUUGGACAAUGGGCGCAAGCCUGAUCCAGCAAUGCCGCGUGGGUGAAGAAGGUCUUCGGAUUGUAAAGCCCUUUCGACGGGGACGAUGAUGACGGUACCCGUAGAAGAAGCCCCGGCUAACUUCGUGCCAGCAGCCGCGGUAAUACGAAGGGGGCUAGCGUUGCUCGGAAUUACUGGGCGUAAAGGGCGCGUAGGCGGCGCAUUUAGUCAGGCGUGAAAGCCCUGGGCUCAACCUGGGGACUGCGCUUGAGACGGGUGUGCUAGAGGACGGAAGAGGGUCGCGGAAUUCCCAGUGUAGAGGUGAAAUUCGUAGAUAUUGGGAAGAACACCGGUGGCGAAGGCGGCGACCUGGUCCGUUACUGACGCUGAGGCGCGACAGCGUGGGGAGCAAACAGG
rnacentral:rRNA from 1 species